GGCAUACUUACUCUAGUCCUCUGCAGUUGGUGUUUCCAGGACCUUGAACUACAAAGAAACCCGCAGAAUAUUCCUUGGCAGCUCUGGCUUCAUGGAUAUAUGACUUUGCAUUCAUACACGAAUCUUAAGCUUGGAAAAUCAGCUGAGCGCAGUGGCUCACACCUGUAAUUCUAGUACUUUGAGAGGCAGAGGUGGGCAAAUCACCUGAGGUCCGGAGUUCAAGACCAGCCUGGCCAACAUGGUGAAACCCCAUCUCUACAAAAAAUACAAAAAUUAGCCAGGCAUGAUGGUGUGCGCCUAUAAUCAUAGCUAUUCAGGAGGCUGAGGUGGGAGAAUCACUUGAACCUGGGAGGUGGAAGUUGCAGUGAGCCAAGAUUGUGCCACUGCACUCCAGCCUGAGCAACAGAGCAAGACCCUGUCAAGAAAGAAAGAGAGAGAGAGAGAGAGAGAAAGAGAAAGAAAGAAAGAAAGAGAAAGAAAGAAAGAAAGAAAGAAAGAAAGAAAGAAAGAAAGAAAGAAAAGAAAGAAAGAAAGAAAGAAAGAAAGAAAAAAAGAAAGAAAAGAGACCCUGCAGUACGAAAACUGAACUGUGAUUUAUCCAUAUGUUAUGCCCCUCUAUUUCAUAAAUAUUAAGAAAAAUCAUUUUGACUGUGAUUAAAUGUAUAUAUACUGAGCCAAAUAUUUUUCUUUCAACUAUUUUCCCUUCCUUCCCCCUUCUUCCUUGGAUUUUUUUUCUCCUUAACAUUGACUAUGGUCUAUAUAUAUGUGUGUGUAGGUCUAGUACUGAGCUCUCUAUGAUGUUCCAUUUACCUUUCCUUGUGCCAUAUACAAUGUCUUAAUUACUAUAGCUUUAUAAUAAAGUUUGAUAUUUGAUCAUACAAGUUCCCAUCUUGUUCUUUAGAACUGUCUUGGUUAUUUUUGGUCCUUUGCUAGUCUAUAUAAAUUUUAAAAUCAACUUGUGAUGUUGGGAUUCUAGGAGUGUUAAUCAAUUCAUGAAAAUUAAUGUCAAUACAAUAUUAAAUCUGACUAUCCAUGAAUAUGGUAUAUCUCUUCAUUUGUUUAGGUUUUAUUUAAUGUCGUUUAAUAAAGCUUUAUAAUUUUUACCAGAUAUGGGCUUACACAUCUCCCACUAGAUUUUUUUUCUCUUGGAUAAAAUAUUUAUUUUUAUUGUAAUUUAAAAUAGUAUAAAUAUUUUUAAAGUUUUUUACUUUUUAAAUAUUUGUUUACAGUUCAUUUUUGAGGUAAAUAUACAUACAGUAAAAUAGACAAAUACAAGUGCACAAUUUGUUGAAUUUUGACAAAUGCAAACAAACGUAGAGGUAAGAAUGUUUUACAUAGUAUAAUCUUUUUAAUAACAUUUUUAGCUGAUCAUUGCUGGUGUAUAAAAAUGCAAUUUCCUUUUUAUUUUGUAGACAAUUAUACUACCCAUAAAUAAUGACCAGUUUGUUUUGUUUCAUUCUAACUCCUAAUUCCUUUUAUUUUACUUUUUUAUUCACAUUACUAUACCAUCUAGGCCAUUUAGUAGAGUGUUAAACAAAUGUAGUAAUAAUAAACAUCUUUACCUAUUUUAUAUUAAACUUAAAAUUUUUCACCAUUAAGUAUAAUAUUGCUGUAGUUUUUUGAUAAUAUUUACACGUUUAAGAAAUUUUUCUUCCAUUAUUAGUUUGCUUAAGAUUUUCUAAACCAUAAACGGAUAUUAAAUUUUAUCUAAUACAAUGUGUCUACUUAGCUCAUUAUAUAGCUUUCAUUCUUUAAUAUGUUAAUGGUGCAGCGGGGUGCGGUGGCUCACGCCUGUAACCCCAGCACUUUGGGAGGCUGAGGUGAGUGGAUCACAAGGUCAGGAAUUCAAGACCAGCCUGGCCAACAUGGUGAAACUCAAUCUCUACUAAAAAUACAAAAAUUAGCUGGGCGCAGUGGCAGGUGCCUGUAAUCCCAGCUACUUGGGAGGCUGAGACAGGUGAAUCACUUGAACCCAGGAGGCAGAGUUUGCUGUGAGCCCAGAUCGUGC
rnacentral:lncRNA from 10 species